rnacentral:rRNA from 5 species
AGAGUUUGAUCCUGGCUCAGGAUGAACGCUGGCGGCGUGCCUAAUACAUGCAAGUCGAGCGAACGGACGAGAAGCUUGCUUCUCUGAUGUUAGCGGCGGACGGGUGAGUAACACGUGGAUAACCUACCUAUAAGACUGGGAUAACUUCGGGAAACCGGAGCUAAUACCGGAUAAUAUUUUGAACCGCAUGGUUCAAAAGUGAAAGACGGUCUUGCUGUCACUUAUAGAUGGAUCCGCGCUGCAUUAGCUAGUUGGUAAGGUAACGGCUUACCAAGGCAACGAUGCAUAGCCGACCUGAGAGGGUGAUCGGCCACACUGGAACUGAGACACGGUCCAGACUCCUACGGGAGGCAGCAGUAGGGAAUCUUCCGCAAUGGGCGAAAGCCUGACGGAGCAACGCCGCGUGAGUGAUGAAGGUCUUCGGAUCGUAAAACUCUGUUAUUAGGGAAGAACAUAUGUGUAAGUAACUGUGCACAUCUUGACGGUACCUAAUCAGAAAGCCACGGCUAACUACGUGCCAGCAGCCGCGGUAAUACGUAGGUGGCAAGCGUUAUCCGGAAUUAUUGGGCGUAAAGCGCGCGUAGGCGGUUUUUUAAGUCUGAUGUGAAAGCCCACGGCUCAACCGUGGAGGGUCAUUGGAAACUGGAAAACUUGAGUGCAGAAGAGGAAAGUGGAAUUCCAUGUGUAGCGGUGAAAUGCGCAGAGAUAUGGAGGAACACCAGUGGCGAAGGCGACUUUCUGGUCUGUAACUGACGCUGAUGUGCGAAAGCGUGGGGAUCAAACAGGAUUAGAUACCCUGGUAGUCCACGCCGUAAACGAUGAGUGCUAAGUGUUAGGGGGGUUCCGCCCCUUAGUGCUGCAGCUAACGCAUUAAGCACUCCGCCUGGGGAGUACGACCGCAAGGUUGAAACUCAAAGGAAUUGACGGGGACCCGCACAAGCGGUGGAGCAUGUGGUUUAAUUCGAAGCAACGCGAAGAACCUUACCAAAUCUUGACAUCCUUUGACAACUCUAGAGAUAGAGCCUUCCCCUUCGGGGGACAAAGUGACAGGUGGUGCAUGGUUGUCGUCAGCUCGUGUCGUGAGAUGUUGGGUUAAGUCCCGCAACGAGCGCAACCCUUAAGCUUAGUUGCCAUCAUUAAGUUGGGCACUCUAAGUUGACUGCCGGUGACAAACCGGAGGAAGGUGGGGAUGACGUCAAAUCAUCAUGCCCCUUAUGAUUUGGGCUACACACGUGCUACAAUGGACAAUACAAAGGGCAGCGAAACCGCGAGGUCAAGCAAAUCCCAUAAAGUUGUUCUCAGUUCGGAUUGUAGUCUGCAACUCGACUACAUGAAGCUGGAAUCGCUAGUAAUCGUAGAUCAGCAUGCUACGGUGAAUACGUUCCCGGGUCUUGUACACACCGCCCGUCACACCACGAGAGUUUGUAACACCCGAAGCCGGUGGAGUAACCUUUUAGGAGCUAGCCGUCGAAGGUGGGACAAAUGAUUGGGGUGAAGUCGUAACAAGGUAGCCGUAUCGGAAGGUGCGGCUGGAUCACCU